GGGCAUUCCUUUCAAUAAACAGCGUCGCUGAUACUGUAUACGGCCUUUCAUUAUCAUAAGAGUUACAAUGGAGCCAUCUGCUUAAUGUAAGACAGUUGAUUUACUGACACUGAAAGUCGAAUAGGAAGAGAGUAUUUAGUCAACUAGCAACAAAUCUCGUUAUCGCUUAUGUGUGCCUGUCUCAGGGUAUAAAUUCUUCCCUUAGUUACGUAUCUCGUAGUGUGCUGGCAGCUUCGAUUUAUAAAGUUUGAUCUACCGUAAUAUCUCGGAUCCUUCAGGGCCACCAUAUUGAUAAAACGACAAUGAGGACUGGCGUUCUUUUCUACGUCACCAUUGUUUGCUGCAUUUCAGCAUCCGUUGUGUGCGCCAGAAAUUCUCAGUUUAAACAUUUGCCCGUUUUCCCGGGAUUCCUGAAUCGACCUCUGUCCACCUCACCUCACUUUGAUCUGCAAAACCUGUACGGAACAGUCGACAAGAGGUUCAACAUGGAUAAUAGGGCAUUCGGCGAAGACGACAGAUUCAAUCAUUUCAUGGACUGGAGAACUCUGUUCGGAAAGAGAAGUUUCGGAGGCCCGGAUAAAAUUGGAUUCCAUAACAUGGAAAGUCCAUUUAAGAGUUAUUACCAAAAUUGGCGGGAACGAUUCUUUCCCAAGAAGAAGGGUGCCAACAAAUAAGCGUCAUUUCCUGUCAACUAACGUCUGUCACCACUAGAAACGAUUUACUUAUUUAUUAGGAACACUCUAUUUCCUCUGUUACACCAUUUCUGUCCAUUCCGUCAGUCAUCAUUCCAAGGAAGUGUCCAAGUACGAUACGUACAUCUUGCAGAUCGUGAUUUCAUUAUUUCGAUGUCCAUUAUUUUACCCGAAAGAAAUGUCAUGAUUGAUUUUAAUUUUCAGAUUGUUUUCACCGAAUGGUUUCGGAGGGUUUCAAUAAAAUUCUGCUUCAAUGCAUCAAAUUGAAAACCAAAAGAGAAUUUUAUCAUUUUAGAAGUGAAAAAAAUAAUCUUCCACCUCUGUCAACAGUAAUGUUUUGGUGCAUCAUACCAUUUUUCGUAUUUCUUUUACACGCUAAAUGCAUGCUCUAUAUAUCUUAAGGAAACAACUAAGUGCACACAUUUUUGAUCACAUUAAAAAAAAAACUCACUUAAACCUUCUCUUUUUGUUGUGUCUAGUCUUAGAAGUUGAUUUCCUUUUUUUUUCUUCAUCAUAAGUGAAACUUGAUUUUAAUUUCCUUUUCGGGGAAUAAAUUCUACUCUUUUAUA